AAAUUGAAGAGUUUGAUCAUGGCUCAGAUUGAACGCUGGCGGCAGGCCUAACACAUGCAAGUCGAGCGGUAGCACAGAGAGCUUGCUCUCGGGUGACGAGCGGCGGACGGGUGAGUAAUGUCUGGGAAACUGCCUGAUGGAGGGGGAUAACUACUGGAAACGGUAGCUAAUACCGCAUAAUGUCGCA
rnacentral:rRNA from 1 species